ACUACCUUACAACAAUAGGCACAUUGAUAUUGCAGAAGAAACAAUGUCGCUGGACUUUGAAAUAAAUCAACCAGUUUGCCUGUUCUAACUUAAUAUGGAUGACAAUGGAAUUUAUACUCUAUCAAGGACCUAUUUUUCACCAUUUAAUUGACAAAAAAAAUUGAAGCACAGCAAACCGCCAAUCACAGUCCUCACGCAUCACACCCUAAAUUAAGAUGUGAUGGUCCUACAAACAUAA
rnacentral:misc_RNA from 1 species